rnacentral:rRNA from 1 species
GACGAACGCUGGCGGCGUGCUUAACACAUGCAAGUCGAACGGAAAGGCCCCGUCUGGGGGGGGCGAGUGGGUAACGGGUGGGUAACACGUAAGUAAGUUGCCCGUGACUGCGGGAGGACUACAUGAAAGUAGGGGGAGUACCUGAUAGGAAGGAUUUCUGCAUGGUGGGGGGUGGUAGGCUUCGGCGGUUGGGGAUGGACUCGCGGCGUAGCAGCUUGUUGGUGGGGUAGGGGCUGACCAAGGCCUUGACGGGUCGCCGGCCUGAGAGGGCGACCGGCCAAAUUGGGACUGAGAUACGGCCCGGACUCCUACGGGAGGCAGCAGUGGGGAAGAGUGCACAAUGGGCGGAAGCCUGAUGCAGCAACGCCGCGUGCGGGAUGACGGCCGUCGGGUUGUAAACCGCUUUCGCCUGUGACGAAGCGUGAGGGACGGUAAUGGGUAAAGAAGCACCGGCUAACUACGUG